GCCUGGGUGGCUCAGUGGGUUGAGCAUCUGACUUCCGUUCAGGUCACGAGCUCGCGGUUUGUGGGUUUGAGCCCCACAUCAGGCU
rnacentral:tRNA from 1 species